GCUGGGCAUGGUGGUGCGUGCCUGUAAUCCCAUCUACCUGGGAGGCUGAGGCAGAAGAAUCGCUUGAACCUGGGAGGCAGAGGUUGCAGUGAGCUGAGAUCGCGCCACUGCCCUCCAGCCUGGGUGACAGAGUGAGACUUUGUCUCAA
rnacentral:SRP_RNA from 1 species